CCUACGGGGUGCACCAGUGGGGAAUCUUGGGCAAUGGGCGCAAGCCUGACCCAGCGACGCCGCGUGUGGGAAGAAGGCCUUCGGGUCGUAAACCACUGUCAGGAGGGAAGAAAAGCAGAUUCCGAACAGGGGUCUGUAUUGACGGUACCUCCAGAGGAAGCACCGGCCAACUCCGUGCCAGCAGCCGCGGUAAUACGGAGGGUGCAAGCGUUAUUCGGAAUCACUGGGCGUAAAGCGCGCGUAGGCGGCUGCGCAAGUCAGAUGUGAAAGCCCUCGGCUAAACCGGGGAAUUGCAUCUGAAACUGCGUAGCUAGAGUUCGGGAGAGGGCGGCGGAACUCCCGGUGUAGGGGUGAAAUCCGUAGAUAUCGGGAGGAACACCAGAGGCGAAGGCGGCCGCCUGGACCGAAACUGACGCUGAGGCGCGAAAGCGUGGGUAGCAAACAGGAUUAGAUACCCUUGUAGUC
rnacentral:rRNA from 1 species